rnacentral:rRNA from 1 species
GACGAACGCUGGCGGCGUGCUUAACACAUGCAAGUCGAACGGAAAGGCCCUGCUUUUGUGGGGUGCUCGAGUGGCGAACGGGUGAGUAACACGUGAGUAACCUGCCCUUGACUUUGGGAUAACUUCAGGAAACUGGGGCUAAUACCGGAUAGGAGCUCCUGCUGCAUGGUGGGGGUUGGAAAGUUUCGGCGGUUGGGGAUGGACUCGCGGCUUAUCAGCAUGUUGGUGGGGUAGUGGCUUACCAAGGCUUUGACGGGUAGCCGGCCUGGGAGGGUGACCGGCCACAUUGGGGCUGAGGUACGGCCCAGACUCCUACGGGAGGCAGCAGUGGGGAAUAUUGCACAAUGGGCGGAAGCCUGAUGCAGCAACGCCGCGUGCGGGAUGACGGCCUUCGGGUUGUAAACCGCUUUCGCCUGUGACGAAGCGUGAGUGACGGUAAUGGGUAAAGAAGCACCGGCUAACUACGUG